CAUCACAGACAGCCUUCUGUCUACUCUGCCAGCUGCAGCAGAGUAGAAGUUUCAACUCCUUUCCAUGGGGACUGUCAGGAGCCCUAUGCCAUCAAUGACUCCAAGGUUCCCAGUCAAACCCAGGAGCACAAGCCAUCGACCCAAGAUUUGCUGCUUCAGAAGGAUGAGCUUGACAGACAAAAUCCCAAGCGCAUUAACGCAGUCUCCCAUUUGCCUUCGAGAACACCCCUGAUCCAGACAAAAAAGAGCACUUCCUCCAGCAGCAGUGAGUUUGAGGCAUUUCACAGAGUCCAUUUUCUAUAAAAGAUCAAAGAGGAACAGCUCUGCUUGAAUCAAGCUUGAGAAGAUCUGAAUGCAUAUGCUUCCCAAAGAAAUUUUUACAAGAGAAACUUAAACCGCUACUGCCAGGAGCACUGGCCAUUCCAGCCAUGCCUCACUGGGAGGCCCUGAGCAUUCUAGCCGGCGGCUGCACAGCUGCUGGGGCAUCUCCAUGAGGAAGAGGGCGGUGGACAGGAGUCAUGAAGACUAAUUCGGAAACUCCCCUGAAGGAGGAGAAGACAUCUGAGCCAUCCUUGUGCCACCAAGCAAGAGUCACUCCAGCUCCUAAAAAGCCACCAUGGGAAGAGCUGCCUCCAAUUAAAGUUCUUGAUUGCACC
rnacentral:lncRNA from 1 species